rnacentral:tRNA from 1 species
GUUUUAAUAGUUUAGAAAAAACACCGGUCUUGUAAAUCGGAAUCGAAGAUCUUAUCUUCUUAAAACA